UUAUUAUUUCACUAGCUUUGGGACCGUAGU
rnacentral:piRNA from 1 species